rnacentral:rRNA from 1 species
UACGGAGGAUGCAAGCGUUAUCCGGAUUUAUUGGGUUUAAAGGGUGCGCAGGUGGUUUAAUAAGUCAGUGGUGAAAGUCUGCCGCUUAACGGUAGGAUUGCCAUUGAUACUGUUGGACUUGAAUAUGGAUGAGGUAGGCGGAAUGUGUAGUGUAGCGGUGAAAUGCUUAGAUAUUACACAGAACACCGAUUGCGAAGGCAGCUUACUAAUCCGUGAUUGACGCUGAGGCACGAAAGCGUGGGGAUCAAACAGG